UACGGGGGGGGCAAGCGUUGUUCGGAAUUACUGGGCGUAAAGGGCUCGUAGGUGGCCAACUAAGUCAGACGUGAAAUCCCUCGGCUUAACCGGGGAACUGCGUCUGAUACUGGAUGGCUUGAGUUUGGGAGAGGGACGCGGAAUUCCAGGUGUAGCGGUGAAAAUGCGUAGAUAUCUGGAGGAACACCGGUGGCGAAGGCGGCGUCCUGGACCAACACUGACACUGAGGAGCGAAGCCAGGGAGCAAACGGG
rnacentral:rRNA from 1 species